rnacentral:sRNA from 2 species
CCGGUUCGUCAUUGGGGAGUAGCCGCCCUUCACCUUGAGGGGGCCUGUUUCAACAUGCUUGACCUUCCGGUCAUGGUGCAGGCAGUUUCCGACCUGGCAAGACCUUUGAUCAUCGCGGUUCCCGACCGGCCGGGGAAAC